rnacentral:rRNA from 1 species
UGGGGAAUAUUGGACAAUGGGCGCAAGCCUGAUCCAGCCAUGCCGCGUGCAGGAUGACGGUCCUAUGGAUUGUAAACUGCUUUUGUACAGGAAGAAACAGUUCUACGUGUAGAACCUUGACGGUACUGUAAGAAUAAGGAUCGGCUAACUCCGUGCCAGCAGCCGCGGUAAUACGGAGGAUCCAAGCGUUAUCCGGAAUCAUUGGGUUUAAAGGGUCCGUAGGCGGUUAGAUAAGUCAGUGGUGAAAGCCCAUCGCUCAACGGUGGAACGGCCAUUGAUACUGUCUGACUUGAAUUAUUAGGAAGUAACUAGAAUAUGUAGUGUAGCGGUGAAAUGCUUAGAGAUUACAUGGAAUACCAAUUGCGAAGGCAGGUUACUACUAAUGGAUUGACGCUGAUGGACGAAAGCCAGGGGAGCAAACAGGAUUAGAUACCCAUGUAGUCCCUGAGCGGGCUGGCAAGGCGCAU